CAGCUCUUCUGUACUCAUGCUUGACAACUCCUGAACAAAGUCAAUUUUAGCUUUUAUUAGAUGAAACAAAAGAAAAUCACUUGCAGAGGCACAAACGUGAGUUGAAACAAUUGGUCAAGCCAAGAUAAGCCGUUGAAUGAAACACAUCAAUAAAUAAGAUAGAUUUGGAAGAAGUAUAAGAUGGCGAGCACGUCAGAUAUGAGAUGAGGAAUUCUUAGGCUGACAGGCUGGAAUGUGCCGCUUUCCUACUUUAUGACAGUUAUCAAUUGUCUAAUUGGAAUCACAGCACAACCCUUGUUUUACUCGUUUCAUAAGGAGGACAAGAGAAAAGGAACAGAGCAAUAAGCAAUAGCAGACAAGAAACCUCGUGGGGUCAAACCAAAGAGCAAGAAAAUGGUGCGGCUUUAACAAUGCUUUAAGCGCUCAGAGUACACGGUUUACAAAGAAAAAUACGUACAGGGAUGACGCCAUCAGCAAUUUUGAGCCUAUAAUGUUCUUGAGCUGUGAUUCUCAAUUUCUCUGUAGCCUACGGGAGUAAGAAACUUCGUGAGUGAGACAAGCUGGCUAGUCUUGUUUUCAAAUGCGUCCAAUCACCAAAUUAAUCAAAUACCUUGGGGGCUGCUUGGGAGGAUUUCCACAAUAUUGCAGCACAGGCUUCAGGACUGAUAAGAAAGACAGGGAUAAAUGCAGACGUGAGACCUCAAACAUCAUUUACAUGUAAAUCGAGUAUCAUAACUACACACCUGAAAGUGUAGCUUAUAAAAUCUUAUCAAGCAGUUCUUCAACGAGUGUCUGAGC